AGGCAGGCUUCGGGCGGAUCGGUUGACGGAAGAAGUGCUUGCACUUUUUCCGCUCCGUCCAUCCGAAGAUCCGGUCGCGAACGCGUGCACUUUUCUCCUGGUAGGACGUCGCGAUCCGAUGGGUGUCGGUCUACGGUUUCGGGGGGAGUCCGUCGGUACGGAAUACUCGUCUAACCGGCUGGGCCCCGAAAGCCCGACCGACUCGCUAGACGGUAUAAAAAUGGUUAGAGGCCGCUCUUUGGAGCGUCCGACUCGCGGCAAGCGCGUUAGUUCGUGUCGGUGAUCGGACCUAGUGCCGUUCCCGACCGCUGGCGUCUGUUGGCCGCGAUGCUCUUGGACAGACCUCUUUAACCGAUNUGCGACGCUAUAGCUUUGGGUACUUUCAGGACCCGUCUUGAAACACGGACCAAGGAGUCUAGCAUAUGCGCGAGUCAUUGGGAUUCACUAAACCUAAAGGCGCAAUGAAAGUAAAGGUCUUC
rnacentral:rRNA from 1 species